AUUUCCCAAAUGUGGCCUUGGGUUUUCAGGAGCCCAGUAGUGACUUCUGUGGUCCCUGACUUGCACCCUCACCCUAUUAUUGGAGUUGUGCUUCAUUUCUCUGUGUGGAAAGAGUGAAGUAUUGGGAAAUAUGACCCUGGUCACCAAACCAACUCAGAGACAGCAAGUGCUUUGGCAAAGGAAAGGGCUGGCACAGAGAACAGAAGCCCCCAGCUAUCAAUACAUUACAGCAGGAUGAGAAAGACCCAGGCCUUUGACAUCCCAGGCUUUGACAGGCCCAGGCUUGACAGUGUCUUGGCACAAUGUUGUGGGAAGAAUAAGCACAAUGAAGAGGUGCCUCAGGAAGAGGACACACUCAGCCACCCACCUCAUGGGACUGCUAUGAGAAUGACUGAAAUAAUUAAUUGUGAAGAGCUUUGUGCCCCUGGGAGUAAGAACACUAUGACACAACUGGAGAAACUGGUUAUUUUACCAAGGCUUAGGCUGGAAUGGUGUGCUUUCCUUUAAAGAAUCAAACUUGACUU
rnacentral:lncRNA from 1 species